rnacentral:lncRNA from 1 species
GAUAAAGUUGGUAAGUGUUAAUGAUUCUCGGCAAGGUUUAAACACCAAGUUGACUGUGUUGGUAAAUAUUAAAUUCCUGUUCCUUGCGUGGUCAUGUUAUGAGUCGGCAUUUCAAUUCCAACACUAUGAUAUCCUCUGCUUGCUUCCUGUCUUCCGGGUAACAUAUACUCCUUUCGAUUUUUGUAUUUUGCUCCGCUUCAUCUGCUUUUUCUCCAUUAACUGGAUGUUUUUUCUCCUUUCGAUUUCUCCAUUACACAGGAGGACAUAAUCAAUAUUGUUCACAGAAUGUAUGAGAAAGAUGACAUUCCAAAGGA